AGUGAACGCUGGCGGUAGGCCUAACACAUGCAAGUCGAACGGCAGCACAGUAAGAGCUUGCUCUUACGGGUGGCGAGUGGCGGACGGGUGAGGAAUACAUCGGAAUCUACUUUUUCGUGGGGGAUAACGUAGGGAAACUUACGCUAAUACCGCAUACGACCUACGGGUGAAAGCAGGGGAUCUUCGGACCUUGCGCGAUUGAAUGAGCCGAUGUCGGAUUAGCUAGUUGGCGGGGUAAAGGCCCACCAAGGCGACGAUCCGUAGCUGGUCUGAGAGGAUGAUCAGCCACACUGGAACUGAGACACGGUCCAGACUCCUACGGGAGGCAGCAGUGGGGAAUAUUGGACAAUGGGCGCAAGCCUGAUCCAGCCAUGCCGCGUGGGUGAAGAAGGCCUUCGGGUUGUAAAGCCCUUUUGUUGGGAAAGAAAAGCAGCAGGUUAAUACCCCGCUGUUCUGACGGUACCCAAAGAAUAAGCACCGGCUGACUUCGUG
rnacentral:rRNA from 1 species